rnacentral:rRNA from 1 species
GAUGAACGCUGGCGGCGUGCCUAAUACAUGCAAGUCGAGCGAACAGACGAGGAGCUUGCUCCUCUGACGUUAGCUGCGGACGGGUGAGUAACACGUGGAUAACCUACCUAUAAGACUGGGAUAACUUCGGGAAACCGGAGCUAAUACCGGAUAAUAUAUUGAACCGCAUGGUUCAAUAGUGAAAGACGGUUUUGCUGUCACUUAUAGAUGGAUCCGCGCCGCAUUAGCUAGUUGGUAAGGUAACGGCUUACCAAGGCAACGAUGCGUAGCCGACCUGAGAGGGUGAUCGGCCACACUGGAACUGAGACACGAUCCAGACUCCUACGGGAGGCAGCAGUAGGGAAUCUUCCGCAAUGGGCGAAAGCUUGACGGAGCAACGCCGCGCGAGUGAUGAAGGUCUUCGGAUCGUAAAACUCUGUUAUUAGGGAAGAACAAAUGUGUAAGUAACUAUGCACGUCUUGACGGUACCUAAUCAGAAAGCCACGGCUAACUACGUG